UACGAAGGGGGCUAGCGUUGCUCGGAAUCACUGGGCGUAAAGCGCACGUAGGCGGAUCGCUAAGUCAGGGGUGAAAUCCUGGAGCUCAACUCCAGAACUGCCUUUGAUACUGGCAAUCUCGAGUCCGGGAGAGGUGAGUGGAACUGCGAGUGUAGAGGUGAAAUUCGUAGAUAUUCGCAAGAACACCAGUGGCGAAGGCGGCUCACUGGCCCGGUACUGACGCUGAGGUGCGAAAGCGUGGGUAGCAAACAGG
rnacentral:rRNA from 1 species